rfam:Oryza sativa Japonica Group DNA, chromosome 7, cultivar: Nipponbare, complete sequence.
GAUAUCAACUGAAAAAGUCAUCAACAACAAAGUUGAAUAACUCAUCAAGAUCUAAAACUUUUAUUUUGGUCAUUUCUUCAUACGACAAAGUGAUAGUAACAUUGUUCACAAAAUUGAUAUAUCUCUUAUCUGGUUUUAUAAAACUAUAACACAUAUAUGUAAAAUUUGUGAAUAAUAUUACUAACAUUUUGUCGGAUGAAGAAAUAACAAAAAUAAAAGUUUUAGAUCUUGAUGAGUUAUUCAACUUUGUUGUUGAUGACUUUUUCAAUUGAAAUC